UACGAAGGGGGCUAGCGUUGUUCGGAAUUACUGGGCGUAAAGCGCACGUAGGCGGAUAUUUAAGUCAGGGGUGAAAUCCCAGAGCUCAACUCUGGAACUGCCUUUGAUACUGGGUAUCUUGAGUAUGGAAGAGGUAAGUGGAAUUGCGAGUGUAGAGGUGAAAAUUCGUAGAUAUUCGCAGGAACACCAGUGGCGAAGGCGGCUUACUGGUCCAUAACUGACGCUGAGGAGCGAAAGCAUGGGGAGCGAACAGGA
rnacentral:rRNA from 1 species